rnacentral:lncRNA from 1 species
GGUUCAUGUGAUACUAUUUUUCUUUCUGCUGCAUAAAUUCAUUCCCAGUUUAAAUUCGUACAGUAUACAAGGCCAAUGAUGAUGGUGCCAUGAAGUAUCAUAAAGAAUGCACUUCUCAUGAUAGAUCAGCAGUCUGUCCAGAAACAGAUCCUUCCUUUGACAAGACAGCAAAGAAACCUUGACAUUUGCUCAUAUUGCUUCCUGAGUCACAUUCGACGUAUGGGACUCAUAGUCCCACUUUAUAUCAUUUCUCAAACUGAUGGAGGUGUAUUGUUGAAUGGUUUCUGCAUUGUAAUUGAAUGCUUCUCCCAAUGUUUCACAUGUUUGGCCACAAUUAGUCUCAAUAAC